UGACUAGAGAUAUCUGUGGCCAGAAUAUUGUCUUUGCCUUUUUGCUACGACGAAGUACUCUUUGGUUCAGUCCUUGAGCGCCAUCUUGCGUGAUUGGUCCCCUUUAAUGUUAUUCAAAACGUUGGGCUGGGAAGUAAGGGCAGCUAUGCCUCAUUCAUCACUGUGGUUGCCAUUAGCACUGGCUUAUCUAUUUUUAGCUAGUGCGCUGCCAGCAAAUGCUCAAAGUAAGUCUUAUUUUUAUUUAAUAAAUAACUAAUUAUAUGUGAUUUAUAGAUAUGCGGAUAAAGAUAUCAAUUCGGUUAAUGGUUGACCUAAUUUUCGAGGUCCUUGCUUCAUUCUCCGCCCAGUUAUAUUGGGUGAUGUCAUACUGUGAUCGAUUGGAAUUGAAACAUUGAUCAUUUGUAACAGCAUACAGCAUACAGCAUUAAGGAGCCACUUUAAUUGUUUGUAAUUAAUAACUUUUUGUUUGUCAAUUUAAGUUUUAUUAUUUUUUUAUAGAUCU